UUUUUCUUUUUUUUUUUUUUUUUUAAUUUAUGAAAGAGAGAAAGAGCAAGCAGAAGCGGGGGGGCGGGGGGAGGCAGAAGGAGAAGCAGACUCCUCUGCUGAGCAGGGAGCCAGACAUGGGGCUUGAUCCCAGGACCCCAGGAUUGUUACCUGAGCUGAAGGCAGACACUGAACCCACUGAGCCACCCAGGCGCCCCUCAAACCAUUCUUUAGAGAACAGACUGGAAGGAAAGACUGGUUCCCACCCAGAAGGCAGACUUGAGGUCAUUGGAACAGAAAAUUCUAAUUCCUGACUACCUAGAGCAUAGUUUCAAAGACAAAGUGCUGAUUCAACACGAGCAAGUUCUUUGGCUCCACACACUCCUCACUUAGUAGGAAAGGAUAUUGUCAGAGGAAGCCCAGUGGGAGCCUCCACAGGCCAGGGCUUCUGCUUGUGUCUAAGGAUAAUACUGUGUAACUCCCUCCAAACUCCAAUGGUAAAACCCAAAUCCAGGACUACUGAGCAACUGAAAGUCAGGCAGAGUAUAUUUGGUGUUUUCAUAUAGUGUUUGAUAAAGAUUUAAAUUGGAAAAUAUUCUCUCUGAAAUGUUUAUUUAACUAAUUGUUGUCACAUGUAUGUUACCUCCUAAUCCAAUGACAAAAAUAAUAUGAACAUACCAGCUUACUUUGUGUUAACUUCGUUUUCACUCCCUCUGGUAGAUCAUGUUUCAAAACGUGGCCAAUAUUCCACAUGCUAUUCUUACAUUGUAAUAUUGAUAUUCAUCCCUCUCAUAGAGUAAUGGGAUCUAUGUCCUCUCCCCUUGAAUGUGAGUGAAACUCUGUGAUUGCCUCAACCAAGAGAAUAUGGCAAAAGUGGCCCUAUGUGAUUUCCAAGGCUUGGUCAUAAAGAUGCCAUUUAUUUUUGCUGUGAUUUCGUGGGACUUACUCUGAGACCACAGUUAUCAUGCUGUGAGGAAGAGAAAUAUCUAUAUGGAGAGGACUCAUACAGGUGUUCCAACCAACGGCCCAGAUAGCAUUGGCCACCAGAUUUACCAGUAAGCAAAGCUUAGAUGAUUCCUGCCUUCAGUCAUAAAGUCACCUCAAGCCUUCCAGUAAUCCCAACUGAUUCCCAAUGUCCUCAUCAAGGCCCUGCUCAUUUUACAGGUUAAUGAGCAAAAUACAUGAUUACUAUUGUUUGAAACUACUAUGCUUGGGGUGAUUUGUUAUGUAGCAAUAGAUACCUGAAACUUUAUUUAUAUAUCCUUGCAAUAAAAGCUAAGUUUACAGGGGUGCCUGGGUGGCUUAAUUGGUUGAGUGUCUGACUCUUGAUUUUGGCUCAGGUCAUGGCUCAGGGUCCUAGGAUGGGAGCCCAGUGUCAGGACUCCAUGCUCAGUGUGGAGUCUCCUUGAGAUUCUCUUUCCCUCAACCACUGCCCCACUCUCCACUCCCCAUCUCUCUUUCUCUCUCUCUAUCUCUCUCUCUCUCUCAUAAAUAAACCCUUUUAAAUUAUUUAUUUAUUUAUUUAUUUAUUUAAAAAAUUUAUUUAUUU
rnacentral:lncRNA from 1 species